AUAAUAAAAGCAGGGGAGACACCAUGAUCAAGAAGGCGGUUCACCCAGGGCGAAGCUUGUCCAUUGCACUCCGCCCAUGCUGAUCCUUGCGAAUUCCCCAAAUGUGGGAAUCUCGACUGCGUAAUUUAUGGUAGUAGGGGACUGCGUUCCCGCUCUCCCCUG
rnacentral:snRNA from 1 species